CACGUGAAGAUCACCAGGUCUGCGAUGGGUGCAGCACUGCGCCCGCAUCCAUGUGAAGAUCACGAGGUCUGCGAUGGGUGCAGCACUGCGCCCGCAUCAGUAGGGUCGGGUUUAUGAAGCAGCUGCUCAGCCCCUUCCUGUCCUGGUAAAGUGUCCUCUGCUCAUUGCAUCGGAUUUUGACAGAGCUGUGCCCAGACACCCCCUACGGUUGAGGCUGGGCUGUGGCUCCUCUCAGUUCUGUGAAUUCUUGCUCUUUAUGUUUUGAAGCCGCACUGUGAAGUGCACAAAUCGCCCUGUAUCCUGGGUGGAGCGGCCUGGCAAUCGCUGUGCACUGAGGUCAACUCACAGCUGAGUCUCUCCAACCUGGUUCACUAGGAAAUGUCUUCAUGUUGCUUCAUUUGUGAAGAUCUUUUGCU
rnacentral:lncRNA from 10 species